rnacentral:snRNA from 1 species
GAGGAGUGGGACAAGUUAGUGCAGAACCCAUUUCUUGCCUUUUACCAGAGAUGGCCGUGAUUUGCCCACAAGACUCCUCUUCUUAAAUCUUUGGAAACACAAUGACACAGCUGUCAUUU